CCAGCAGCCGCGGUAAUUCCAGCUCCAAUAGCGUAUAUUAAAGUUGUUGCAGUUAAAAAGCUCGUAGUUGGAUUUCUGGUAGGAUGACUGUGCCCUCAGUAGAGCGUGCGCAGGCGUCUUGCCAUCCUUCUGUUAACCUUUGAGAGCUUCAUCGCUCUCUUUGGGGCUCAGAUAUUUUACCUUGAGAAAAUUAGAGUGUUUCAGGCAGGCUAGCGCCGGAAUACAUUAGCAUGGAAUAAUGGAAUAGGACUUAGUCUCUUUGUUGGUUCGGGGGACUGGAGUAAUGAUUAAUAGGGAUAGUUGGGGGCAUUAGUAUUUAUUAGCUAGAGGUGGAAUUCUCUAAUUUGAUAAAGACUAGCUUAUGCGAAAGCAUUUGCCAAGGAUGUUUUCAUUAAUCAAGAACGAAAGU
rnacentral:rRNA from 1 species